rnacentral:rRNA from 1 species
AUUGAACGCUGGCGGCAUGCCUUACACAUGCAAGUCGAACGGUAACAGGUCUUCGGAUGCUGACGAGUGGCGAACGGGUGAGUAAUACAUCGGAACGUGCCCGAGAGUGGGGGAUAACGAGGCGAAAGCUUUGCUAAUACCGCAUACGAUCUCAGGAUGAAAGCAGGGGACCUUCGGGCCUUGCGCUAAUAGAUGAGCCUAAGUCGGAUUAGCUAGUUGGUGGGGUAAAGGCCUACCAAGGCAACGAUCUGUAGUUGGUCUGAGAGGACGACCAGCCACACUGGGACUGAGACACGGCCCAGACUCCUACGGGAGGCAGCAGUGGGGAAUUUUGGACAAUGGGCGCAAGCCUGAUCCAGCAAUGCCGCGUGCAGGAAGAAGGCCUUCGGGUUGUAAGCUGCUUUUGUCAGGGAAGAAAUCUUCUGGGCUAAUACCCCGGGAGGAUGACGGUACCUGAAGAAUAAGCACCGGCUAACUACGUGCCAGCCGCCGCGGUAAGAC